UACGGAGGGUGCAAGCGUUAAUCGGAAUUACUGGGCGUAAAGCGCACGCAGGUGGCUGAGUCAGUCGAUUGUGAAAGCCCUGGGCUUAAACCUGGGAAUUGCAGUCGAUACUACUCAGCUAGAGUAUGGGAGAGGGUAGUGGAAUUCCCGGUGGUAGCGGUGAAAUGCGUAGAUAUCGGGAGGAACAUCAGUGGCGAAGGCGGCUACCUGGCCCAAUACUGACGCUGAGGUGCGAAAGCGGUGGGGAGCAAACAGG
rnacentral:rRNA from 1 species